UACGUAGGGUGCGAGCGUUGUCCGGAAUUAUUGGGCGUAAAGAGCUCGUAGGCGGUUUGUUGCGUCUAUCGUGAAAACCUGCGGCUUAACUGUGGGCUUGCGGUGGAUACGGUCAGACUUGAGUUCGGUAGGGGAGACUGGAAUUCCUGGUGUAGCGGUGAAAUGCGCAGAUAUCAGGAGGAACACCGGUGGCGAAGGCGGGUCUCUGGGCCGAUACUGACGCUGAGGAGCGAAAGCGUGGGGAGCGAACAGG
rnacentral:rRNA from 1 species